ensembl:lncRNA
CCCUGUUUUACUAACAACUCCACUGACGGCAAGAUGGGAAAUCAAAGGAUGAAAUUUCCUGUCUGCUGGGGGUGGCCUUGAGUCCCCAGACACUCUGAGCCCUUCUCGUCACUCGCCAUGUUGCAGAAAUGUGCUGUCUCCAGAACAACCUUGUCGAUGGCCUGGGGGACUUGUGUCUCCCUCGGAAUCCCACCUGGCCCUCUAUCUGAGUCACCAAGCUUCCCCCACGGCCCAGAGGUGCUGUGCCCUUUCUCCGCAGCUCAGCUGGGCCACGGGGUGGAUGCCAGCACCUCCUACUCCAGCCCCAUCCAUCGCCACCUGUCACCACAGCUGCUCCCCUCCUGGAAGUGUGUGGUUUGGGCAUCAUGGUCACUACAGAGCUCCUGGGUGUCCAGGAUGGCAUCCUGCCCAUCAACAGGGAUGGUGGCGGCAGAGGGGUACACAGGCGAAUUCUCUAUCCUUCUCGGCCGUGGAUGGGAAACUCCUCCUGCUUAGGAAUCCUGGAGCAUAUCACUGCAUCUGAAGGAGAUGCCUGGGCCCAGUCUCCCUGAGAGAACCAGGCACCCAGGGGCCGCGGAGCCCAGCCCUGUGUCUGCAUCCACAGGGGCUGCUGUUGGGAGACGAGUCAGGCUGUCCCUCUUCUCUUCAUGGUCAUAGGAAGAAGCCUAGACUGGACCCACGUCGUGGGGGAGGGGACUGCCUGGGGCAGGGGUGAUGGGCCAGUCAGGGCAGAGGAGCUCUGAGAAGAGAGCCAGAAACAGCUCCAGAUUUGGGGGUGCCCAGACCUCAGAGCAAGGCCAUUCUCCACCAGAACUACCAUGGUCUUGGCACUGCUGUUAGUCAUCUCGAGGCUGUUUCUUUCCCCUUUGUGGGUGGGAUAAGUUUACAAAGGGGCUCCCACCCCGUUGGAUGGCUGUGGGAUGGAAUGUAGCUAUGAAUGGACAGGGCUUCACCCAGAACUCUGCACGGUGGAGCCUCCCUUUACAGCUGGGUGUAUCCACACAGGGCUUCCGCGCACAUGCCGCCCACCUGGCCACACCUACUCUGCCAGGCCCUGUGCCAGGUGCCAGAGAGAAAGGCGCAGCCCCCAGCUGCUCCCGGGCGCGGGUAGAGACUCACCUGUAAGCAGAUUGCAACACAAGUCAUGACAGAUGUUUGCCCAGGGGGCCUCAGGAGUGAGUGAUUGAGCCAGGGGGCGCCCUGGGGGCUUAAGAGGCAGAGACACUCUGAUGCUGUAACAGACAAGAGAAGAGGCACAGAGAAGUUCUCUAAUAUAGAGACAGCGUUUUAUCCAGAGCAAGUGACAUUACCUGAUGGACAGAGCCUUCUCCGACCCACGGUCACCACCCUGUCCAUCUGCUAUCACAACAGUAUGAGGCGCUGGGUUAACCAGGGAUACCCCCACCAGACUGUUGCCCUCCUCAUAGCACCUAGUAC